AGGAAUGGGAGUGCCAAAAUACCGCGAGAGUGUCUGUUGUUGCAGUACGUCUGGCUGAACCAGAAGCAGGAAAUUCUUGUGAGAGCCUGUCUCAUGAGAUUGCCAGCCAGCUCCGAGGCUGGCCCUGUUGCUAGCUAUUAGUGCAAAAUGGUGAGGUGGGAAUGUAGCUGAGAAGGAAAUAGCUGAAGAUGGGCAAAAUGGCUAAUUAGAAAUGAUGGCAGUGUGUAUGGGGGGAGGCAAUGGUUUUCUUUGUUUUGAAUGUAAAAGCAAUGAAUAAAUGAAGCAAACUUGUGUCAUGUCCCUUGCUCCAGUGGAGGAGGACAUGGGGAAGCUCUCUUUGCAGUUUGAGAGCUCCUCCGCUGGAGCUGGUCUGGCACUGCUCUUCCUUGGGGCCUCCGUCUGGUUCAAAGGGGGCCAAACCCAGCACUUCGGUUCACAACACUUUUCGAACUUGUAGGUCAGGAAUUUUUCCUUAACCUGGGCUAGACUCUGCUCUAAAACUUUCCGCACUGUCGUGUGCGGAGCUGCCUGGGCGGAAGCUGAGAUGCCGGCACCGGAGGGAGGGAGCCGAGCUUUAACCUCCGUCCAGCAGACUUAUUCCACCUUGGCUCCGUUUCAAGACAAUUUUAAAAGCUGUAUCCAGCCUAUGCUGCCGUUUUUGGCAUUAUUGCUCCUGGUGGAGCUGUAAUGGUGGGGAACUUUAAAGGAAAAGGACAUAAUGGAAACUGAUUAGAAAAGUGGGGAAAGUCUUGGGGUGCAAUAAAGCCUUGCCCAAAGAAGGGAAGGGGACAAGGGGAGGCCUUAAAAGGCAUGCAUUCGAUCACAGCAGGGCAGGAAAUAGCUUUAGGAGAGUUUUUCUUUGGUCCAUUCAUAACCUGGUUUGUACCUCAUUAACUUUCUGUUAGUGCAUUUUUUCUUCUAAGAUCCAGGGUAGUUUAUUCCCACUGAAGUCAAUGUGAGGAGUCAUUCAGUGCCAAGUGCAAUCUCUCCUGCAGAUUAAACAAGAGAAGCUCCCAGCAUUGCUUUCAUCCGAAAGAGAUGAGAAGCGUGUUGAGGAUGUGCUGAUGCUGCAUGCUUUAUUUACUCCAUCUCCGUGGAGCUACAGUAAGCUUCCUGGAGGUGCUUUUCUAAGGCUCUUGCACCUUUUUUCUGUAAUACAUUGAAUGUGCAAGUGACAACCCCUGUGAAACCAGUUGCAAAGUUGCUACUGGCUCCAUUAAGCCUGUUAGGCUGCUAGAAACUACUGGUAUGAAGGAAUCUCUAUAAAAGCUGCAUGGAUUAAAAAGAUGCCCGUUUAAGAUUCUGAAGAUUUUCUUCUGUUUCAGAUAUUCCCUGCUUACCUCAAAUUCAUUUUGCGAACUGUUGUUCUGCAGCGCUAAAAUUAGAUUCCAGGUAGUUUAAACUGUUCUGUUAUAUCCCUUAGGAAAGACAGCUGGGGUUUUGUCUUGCUGAUGAAGCCUGAUUUGAAUGACUACUCAUCAAGUCCAUUUAAAGAUUCAUUAUGUUCUAUAUAGUCCAACAGUAAAAAUACAGAAGUAUCCCAUGGGCAGCCAACUGCUGAAAGGGAGGAAUUAGUUACAGGAGAUAGGGUAAGAUGAUGUGGGAUUAAAAUGCAGCAAGCAAGAUUCUGGUUUGAUACUGGUGAAAAAUGAGAGGGAUGGUAAGGGAUUAGAAUAGGCUGUGUGGGAGUCUGGGGCUUCCAGCCCUGGAUGGCAGGGGAGGUGAGCAUCUGGGCUGAGCUCGUCCUGCCUGCACCUCUUCCUGUGCUCUGCAGCCCUCUCCUUCGAAGAAGGCUUGCCAUAGACAGCACAACAGAUAGAGGAUGGGCUCUUGCAACCUUCUGGGUGGUCAGCAGUGCAGUGGCUCUGUGUCCCUAGUGAGCAAACAGCAACCCAGAAGAUGGGAAAUCCAUGAAACAGCACACUAGGUCUGAGGUGGUGGUGCUGGUCUUACCCCAGCUGCCAUGGGGUGCCCAGGUCCUGUGGAGUGACGGUAGGCACCGAGCCAGGAGGACGGGUACCGGCUAGUCCAGGGCUAUGGGCAGGUCCCUGAAACUCAGGGAGAAUUAAAACUAGGCAGCUGUAGUUGGGAAGGUGCUGAAUGUUGUCCAGAUUGGACAUAUCUACCAGGUUAUAUUAAGGACCACUCGCUUAGCUUUUAUGGAGUGCGAAGUCACCGUGAAAUACGCUGAAAAAUUAAGAUGCCUUAUGUACUUAGUUUGGCUUUGUAACACAACUGUGUUAAGCUGUUUCUCCAGUAGACAUUCAGCAGCAAACACUUCCAAAGAGCUGCUGCAAAACACUACUGCUGGGGUCCUUGGGGACGGUCAGCUCUGGGCUGGAGGAGAAACGCAUCGUGCAAUUCCCCAGGUGGCACAGGAGUGCCCCAGGAGCAUCCACGCAGACAGAGUUGUAGCUCCAACUUCUGUUUCCUCAUCGAGUCCUGUAUUCAUUUUUUAUCUUGUUUCGGUUUUUGCCUGAAAUGAGGAUGGAUUUGAUGGGUUCUACUUCUGUUUGUAUGAAUAGGGGAUCUUUUCACUAUAAAUCUGAGACAGAAAUUUGAGGCAAAUCUCAGGAGUCUGGAAAACAUUCCAGGCUAAACUUAAAGCAUUUCUGUACUCUUUCUGAAGUGCUUGUUUAUCUUGUUUGCUCUGAUCAAGAGAACAUCUGAAAUGAACAAAUAAGCUGCCUGAACAUCUGGCAUCUCAGGUCAGAGUUGCAAGGAGCCUGCUGAAAGUUGCUGCUUGUUUUUUCAGGUCUGAGUUCUUCCUGUCUAAGUUCAGUUUUUGCUUAAUCAGGUAGGAUUUUCUGUAGCCAGAGCAAUUAAGUGGUGGGCACGGGUCCUUCUCCAGCAUUUCCCUUCUCAGGGCUGAGGUGUGCUCUGAGCAGUCCUGGCUCUCGUCCUGCUGUGGCUGUGGCUGUGGUGGUGCCUGGCCCCUUUCGGGCAGGGCUGUGCCGUCUGCCCGUGGUGGGCAGCGAAACCCUGUGCUGCAGAGGUGAAGGGAGGAAUCGUGAACUCCUGCAAGAGCGCUUGAAAGCCGUUGUUCAAGUGUUUGGUGAUUCCACUCGAGGUUUCAGUUGCAAGCAAGAACAGAUGUGUAAUGUAUUCAGCCUGAGACUCCAGGGGUGGCUGUCAGAGCUCCUUUGUUGAGCGCUCCCACGCGUUGGGGUAUACCCACACGUGAGACUUGUUAGGCUGAUUUGUCAUUUAACAAUUAGCAUUUAACCCCAGCGGGUGGCUAGGUGCUGCAGGCAGCGGCUCCUGGCACCGCGUGCCGCUGCUUGUGCCUGGAUGCGUUUACAAAUGUAAAUACUGCAGGGCCUGGUUCUGCUGUCCUGUCAUGUUAGCAGUGUUCCUUAGAAAUCCUCCCGUGGAGGGGCAAUACGUGCUCCGCUAGGUUUGAGUUCCCUUUGCAGGAAAGCUCACCGCACCAGCGUUCAUCCAUGUAAAUCCUCUGUGCCAUACAACGGAAUAAAACGUUUUGGGUUUAGCUUUGCUUCCUGGUGGAUCCCAAGGUGCAGAGCAGCUGUUGUACCUGCCUUCUCUGGCAGAGCUGGAGGGUGUGCCCAGCUUCCAAGGGGGCGUUAGGAUCAUGGAACGUCUGCUGCUGUUGCUCGAGAUUCCUGUUCCAGGAAAUACAGAAAGUGAGGGAAUUUCAUUUAGAUUGCAAGGGUUGUAUUUCAACCGAAGAUGUGAAUUUUUACUAAGAAUAUCACAUACAUGUACAGAUGUGUGUGUGCCCUUAAUAUGGAACUAUAUCAUAAGUUGCGUACUCCUUUUAUAAAGGUUACUAGUUCAUUGGGAAUGAUGCUGCAGUUUUUUAUUACUGCAGGGAACAGCUCUUACGUGGUAAUGCCUGCUGAGGGUUGGUUGAGUUCAUCCCCGAGAAACAUUUCCAGUCUCAAUCUAACCAGCUUUUAAACCUGGCCCCCCAGAGGCAGAAAGCAGAGCUAAAUCAUGACAUUAGCAAACGCUCUGAAACAGCAUGGUGUGUUUGCUGCCCACCUUUCUCUUUCAUCCUUCUCCCUGACUCUGUUCCAGGACAUCUUGUGGAAAAAGGAAAAGCAGUUUCCUUCAGAACUGGCUGUUUUUCUUCUUCCUGUAGACCUCCCCCCCUCAAGUUAAAUGGGCAAACAUAGCAUGCAGUAUUUCUGCUGCAGAGUUAAAUAUUGAUGAAGAUUAAGAUGCAUUAAAUGACUGAGGAAAUUCAUGGGACAGGAAGAAAAACAAACAAAACCCAGAAAAUUAAAAAACGUUCAAGUGUAUGAAUAGCUCUUUCUCUCUCCAACUUCUGCGUGACUUCCAAUGAAACGUUUCAGCAUCUUGAUGCGAAUGUUCCAGCUUCCCGGAGCCGGGGACAAGGAAGUGCUGUACGGCAACAGCUAUGGGGGGGAAAAUGUUCUGUGCUGUGUUGCUCUUGGACUUCCUCGGAGUAUUUUUGUUCCAGAUGUUAAACUGUUAUUUUUUCAGAAGCCUUGCAGAAUUGCCAGAACGCUGGAUUUUUUUUUGAAGGAUUUUCCGAACCCCAGCUGAUUAUCACAACACACAAGAAUCCAAACUCGGUCUUGGCUUCGCGGUGCUCCAGCAGCUGCAGAAAAUCUGGGGGAAGGCGCAGGUUCACGGCGCUGUCACCGGCUGCCCUUGUACGGUCACAGCGGGAGCGCGCAGCCCUGCUCCCCUGCCUCCUGCGAUGUGGGAUUCGUGUCAGGCUGUGAGCCACGUGCCCCCUUCCAGAGCACCCCAGGCAGGGGCACUGCAGCAACGUGCUCCGAGGCUGCAGCGGGGCAGCUCAGGGUGGAAAAAUUACUUCCAUCUGCCUUCGUUCCAGCAAAGGGUAGCUUGCUCUGAGGCAAAAUCAGCCCCUAGCAUGUUUUGUUUCUAGAUGUAAUGAUAUUUUUUUAGCCCGUGGUACAUGGUGAUGCUGGCGGUGCAGGCAGAUCGAGCACUGCUGCUCCCCACCAGAGUGCCAGUGCCCCGGCUCUUCUGCGGCCCUGCUGCUCGCGUUCUUCUGAGCCCUUUGAUGUAAUCCUUGUGGAAGCAGAUGGAAAAAACUUCUGGGCUCUGGUUUGUCUAUUGAGUGCUGUCCUACUGACUUUCAGUGAGACGUUCUCUCUACAAAAGAAAUAACUGUAGAAGCACCUUCUGUUUUGUACCUGCUCCUCUCUUUAUCUGCCUGAUUUUUGUCCUUGUACGCUUACAGGAACUCUCAGCUAUGGCACUUUUGCACUUAAUGCAUCUCCCCAACACUUGCUGCACCUCCCCUGCUGCCUUUGCUGUGCUCUGAAGGCUGACAGCCCUGUACAGGCAGAAGCCUGCAGCCACCCUAGUGUUAAGGCAGCAGGGAGCUCUGUGCUCAAAUUCCUUCCCCUGACCACAGCCUCCUCCUAGAGGCGAAGUCUGCCAGCCGGCCUGGGUGCUCUGCUCUCCUCUGCCAAAGAAAGCUGCGUAUUUUGCCAAGCUCAUCUGCUUUACCUGGAAGAGGGCGGCUGCUGCUGGCAGAGCGAGAGCCGUGGGCAGCUGAGGCAGACGGAAACUCUUCUAAAGCAAGAGAUGAAGUGUGGAGUAAAACCGGUCAGUGAAGGCAGAAGUUUGGCUGCAGAAAUACAAAGAGCCUCCUCUUCGCAGGAGCAAUCCUCCCGAGGAAUUGAGCUGGAUCCUUGACCAUGCUUUGUGAGUGGUAAAGCAAAUGCAGCAGUGCCUCGAGACAGCCAUUGGCACCCCUGUGCCACCUCCUGCUGCUCCGGUGGGGCUGGCGGGUUGCACGGGUCUCUGAAUAUGCGAGGCAAUGCUGGGUCUGCAGCAGCAGGCAUGAGGAACAACAGGAACGGAAAUAGCAGCUCCCUGUUCACACACUGAUGGAUUUUAGCGGUUCUCUUUGAAAGCUGUCUCCUGGGUAACGUGGCUUUACAGAAGACUUUGUCCGUCUACCUUUCUUCAGUUCUUUCCUGGGAAAAAAAGCAAGAGGUGGUUAUGCAUUCAAAAUCAAAGCUAGCUCCGUGACUUAGUCUUUAAUUCAUUGUAAAAUCCCACCAAUAUGCAUUAAGACUUCAUGCUUCAGAAAAACUGGGAUCGGUUGCUUUGGGAGAACAAAACACAAGGAGGAUAGAGGGCUCUGUACGAACCAGUUUCCUGCAUCCCUAUUUUUAACUUUUCACUUGAGGAUAAUGAUCGCUUGUCCCUCAUCGGCUAGAGAUGGCACCUUGUGUUCUCUCUGCGCAGGAGCUGCACUGAGAAGUGACACAGUCCUUCCUCAUUUGGGAACGCUUUCACGAAGGCUCAAGGAUGGAGCCAAGCUCUUGAUUCCCUUUUGCAAUAGGGAGAUACAGACUCAAGUAACUUGCAUGGACUUUACCGCCUAUUAACCCCGUCGCUGAGUGAUGCAGGUCAUGUGUCUUUGGUGGCGAGCACUUACACUGAACGUGCUGUAUUGGAGAGCCUGCUGGGGACUGCAGCGUUGCUUUGAAGAUGUCAGUGUGGUGGGGGUGAUGCAAGUCUGCACUCUCCCCGUGCAUGAAACUCAACUAUAUGCAAAAGCAGAAGGGCUGGUCAUUUUUGGUUUUGUUUUUCCAGAAUCCUGUAUUUACAAAUCCUCUUUUCCCAAUAGUCUUUUUGAUAAUGCCAAGUCUUCCCUCUGAUCUUCUGUGUCUCAGUUUGUGCUCCUUCUUCCAUUUCUGCUUCUACUGAAUGAAGCUCCUGGUGUUGUUCACAUAAAAAACCAACAGUAACUUGAGACUUCUUUUUAUUUUAUGUAAGCUGCGGAUAUUGAAUGAGAUUCCUAGCAUAUGUCACCAGACGUGUGAACAGCACUUUCCAAUUAAAACUGUAGGAAAUUCUACUGGUUGCUUAAAAACCCCACAAAAUAGAGAACCAUAAACUUGAAUUCAUAAACACCCAUGAUGGGAAAAAGAUCCAGCUAUUUACAUGGCAGUCAUUUUAUUUAUUUAAAUUUGGUUUUGUAAGUUAAAAUGAGCACAGCCCGGGAGAAAAACAUCUUGAGCAUUUUAUGUGUAUCUGCAAGGCUUGGAACAAUCACAGAGCAAAUUAAACUGGUUUUCAGUGAUUUUGGACAACUUACAGAUGUGAUAACUUUCCUUAAUGUCUGUGCCACAGCUGCAUCAACCCCUGCAAAUUAAAUAAAGAAACAAUUCGAGGCAUCUCUGACGUAGCCUGGUGGUUAAAUUGUAAUCAGCACCUGCUAAUUAAAACGCACAUGGCUGAAAUGACAA